rnacentral:lncRNA from 1 species
GAGAUGAAUCGGCUAAAUACGGCAAUCUUUCCAUUAAGUUGUUGUAUCUCUUUUUUGGAGCUUGGAUACUUUAUAUUGAUGAUAGUCUUUAUUUUCUCAAGAUUGAUUUUAAUUCCUCAUUGUGACACAAGAAAUCUAAGAAAUUUUUUGAAAAUUACUUCGAAUGCAUACUUAAUCAGAUUUAAUUUCAUUAGAUGUCAUCGAAG